rnacentral:lncRNA from 1 species
GUGACAUCUGGUGGAAGUGCUUUGCGUUCAUGUACCGGACGCCCCAACAAGCCGUGAUCCAAGCCCGGACCGCGAAGACAGCACCAACGCCAAGAACCAGCGGGGUA